rnacentral:rRNA from 1 species
GAGUAAUGUCUGGGAAACUGCCUGAUGGAGGGGGAUAACUACUGGAAACGGUGGCUAAUACCGCAUAACGUCGCAAGACCAAAGAGGGGGACCUUCGGGCCUCUUGCCAUCAGAUGUGCCCAGAUGGGAUUAGCUUGUUGGUGAGGUAACGGCUCACCAAGGCGACGAUCCCUAGCUGGUCUGAGAGGAUGACCAGCCACACUGGAACUGAGACACGGUCCAGACUCCUACGGGAGGCAGCAGUGGGGAAUAUUGCACAAUGGGCGCAAGCCUGAUGCAGCCAUGCCGCGUGUAUGAAGAAGGCCUUCGGGUUGUAAAGUACUUUCAGCGGGGAGGAAGGUGUUGUGGUUAAUAACCGCAGCAAUUGACGUUACCCGCAGAAGAAGCACCGGCUAACUCCGUGCCAGCAGCCGCGGUAAUACGGAGGGUGCAAGCGUUAAUCGGAAUUACUGGGCGUAAAGCGCACGCAGGCGGUCUGUCAAGUCGGAUGUGAAAUCCCCGGGCUCAACCUGGGAACUGCAUUCGAAACUGGCAGGCUUGAGUCUUGUAGAGGGGGGUAGAAUUCCAGGUGUAGCGGUGAAAUGCGUAGAGAUCUGGAGGAAUACCGGUGGCGAAGGCGGCCCCCUGGACAAAGACUGACGCUCAGGUGCGAAAGCGUGGGGAGCAAACAGGAUUAGAUACCCUGGUAGUCCACGCCGUAAACGAUGUCUACUUGGAGGUUGUGCCCUUGAGGCGUGGCUUCCGGAGCUAACGCGUUAAGUAGACCGCCUGGGGAGUACGGCCGCAAGGUUAAAACUCAAAUGAAUUGACGGGGGCCCGCACAAGCGGUGGAGCAUGUGGUUUAAUUCGAUGCAACGCGAAGAACCUUACCUGGUCUUGACAUCCACAGAAGAAUCCAGAGAUGGAUUUGUGCCUUCGGGAACUGUGAGACAGGUGCUGCAUGGCUGUCGUCAGCUCGUGUUGUGAAAUGUUGGGUUAAGUCCCGCAACGAGCGCAACCCUUAUCCUUUGUUGCCAGCGGUUAGGUCGG